GAAAGCUCCGGCGGAUAGAGAUGGGCAGCGCAAGAUUAGCUAGUUGGUGAGGUAACGGCUCACCAAGGCGAUGAUCUUUAGGGGCCUGAGAGGGUGAUCCCCCCACACUGGUACUGAGACACGGACCAGACUCCUACGGGAGGCAGCAGUGAGGAAUAUUGGUCAAUGGGUGCAAGCCUGAACCAGCCAUCCCCGCGUGAAGGACGACUGCCCUAUGGGUUGUAAACUUCUUCUGUAUAGGGAUAAACCUACCCUCGUGAGGGUAGCUGAAGGUACUAUACGAAUAAGCACCGGCUAACUCCGUG
rnacentral:rRNA from 1 species